GUUCCCGUAGUUUAAUGGAUAGAAUUACAGAUUCCGGUUCUGUCGAUGUGGGUUCGACUCCCUCCGGGAACAC
rnacentral:tRNA from 1 species